AUAGAUUUGAUGAUGGGAUAAGUACCUUGAGGAGCUGUUCUUUAGAGAGUUGGCGAAUUGCUGAGAGCCAAUGUUCAGACCUUAUGUGGAAGAUCCUCCCGGAGAAGUGAAGCUGAAACGUCACUAACGUGUGUAAGCUGAACCGGACUGCCGAACGUUAUAACGGCUCUAUGUUGGUAAGUUCAUCAUAGACUUGAGGAGUCGCUGAUUAAGUUUUUUUAAUGAGCGAAAUUAGGGUGGUAACGCGAGCUAAAGUCUCGUCCCUUUG
rnacentral:ncRNA from 1 species